rnacentral:rRNA from 1 species
GAGAGUUUGAUCCUGGCUCAGAUUGAACGCUGGCGGCAGGCCUAACACAUGCAAGUCGAGCGGUAGAGAGAAGCUUGCUUCUCUUGAGAGCGGCGGACGGGUGAGUAAUGCCUAGGAAUCUGCCUGGUAGUGGGGGAUAACGUUCGGAAACGGACGCUAAUACCGCAUACGUCCUACGGGAGAAAGCAGGGGACCUUCGGGCCUUGCGCUAUCAGAUGAGCCUAGGUCGGAUUAGCUAGUCGGGCCUUGCGCUAUCAGAUGAGCCUAGGUCGGAUUAGCUAGUUGGUGAGGUAAUGGCUCACCAAGGCGACGAUCCGUAACUGGUCUGAGAGGAUGAUCAGUCACACUGGAACUGAGACACGGUCCAGACUCCUACGGGAGGCAGCAGUGGGGAAUAUUGGACAAUGGGCGAAAGCCUGAUCCAGCCAUGCCGCGUGUGUGAAGAAGGUCUUCGGAUUGUAAAGCACUUUAAGUUGGGAGAGAAUAAGCACCGGCUAACUCUGUGCCAGCAGCCGCGGUAAUACAGAGGGUGCAAGCGUUAAUCGGAAUUACUGGGCGUAAAGCGCGCGUAGGUGGUUAGUUAAGUUGGAUGUGAAAUCC